CUGUGAUAGGUGGGGAGUUAGCGGUGCCCUGUACCUGCAAUCCGCUAUAGCAGGACUGAACGCUUUUCUCGGUGUAGGCUGUGGAAGGCCGCAUACGGUAAGGAAUGUUGAUAACAAGGUCUUAUGCAACGCAUCCCUGCGAACCGUGUCAGGGUAGGGAUACAGCAGCACUAAACAGAUCGGUGCGUGUGCCAUAAGGUAGCUUUGUCGGAGUCACCUGCCGUGUUUCCGCUUCGGCAGUCUGCAACAAAAAAAGAUUCACAG
rnacentral:SRP_RNA from 1 species